rnacentral:ncRNA from 1 species
UGGUUACAGGAAAACCAGCAGAUGGUUAAAAGGGAAACAGGUGUAAAUCCUGUACGAACUCGUCACUGUGAUAAGGGAGCACCGAUUCGAAUACUGGUCACUGAUGCGGACAAAAUGCGGUCUGUAUUGGGAAGGCGGAAUCUGUGCGAUGAUUUUUCAGUCAGGAAACCUGCCAGUUGUC